AAAUUUAGCUCGUCACUAUUGCCACCCUGUCUCUCGCCAUGUUCUCCGGCUGAAACUUCUGCUACACUAUUUCUAAGUUAUUCAUUCAACUUUUAUCAUAUAUAAAUCAACUGUAAUUGGUAGUCAAGAUGUCGAAUAUCUCCUACCAUAUCUCCAAUCUGUUGGAGAAAAUGACAUCUACUGACAAAGACUUUCGCUUCAUGGCCACCAAUGACCUGAUGAUGGAGCUUCAGAAGGAUUCUAUCAAGUUGGAUGAAGACAGUGAGAAGAAGGUGGUCACCAUGCUCCUGAAGCUACUGGAAGAUAAGAAUGGAGAGGUGCAGAAUCUAGCUGUCAAGUGUCUGGGUCCCUUGGUGAGCAAGGUGAAAGAAUACCAGGUAGAGAUCAUGGUGGAUACUCUCUGCUCUAACAUGAUGUCAGACAAGGAACAACUCAGAGACAUCUCCAGUAUGGGUCUGAAGACAGUCAUCGCUGAGCUGCCCCCAUGCUCCAUAGGUCAAAGUCUGACUGCCAACGUAUGUAAGAAGAUCACAUCUCAGCUGAUAGGAGCCAUGGGGAAACAGGAAGACGUUUCUGUUCAGCUGGAGGCCUUGGACAUCCUGUCGGACAUGUUGGGAAGGUUGAGUGGUACGUUGAUCAGCUUCCAUGCCUCCAUCCUGACCAGCCUGCUCCCCCAGUUGACCAGCCCCCGUAUGGCUGUGAGGAAGAGGGCCAUCAUGGCCCUGGGUCACCUGGUGCCCAGCUGCAGUAAGACUCUCUUCACCCAGCUCACUGAGCACCUGCUGGCUGAGCUGGGCCGAGGACAGCAGACCUCCACCACACGCACCUACAUCCAGUGUCUGGCCACCGUCAGUCGCCAGGGAGGCCAUCGAGUCGGCGAGCACCUAGAGAAGAUCGUCCCCAUGGUGAUGACGUUCUGCAGUGUGGAGGAUGAUGAACUCAGGGAGUACUGCUUCCAGGCCUUUGAAGCCUUCGUCCGCAGAUGCCCCAAGGAGAUGUCCCCUCAUAUAUCCACGGUGAUCAAGCUGUGUCUGAGGUACAUCACCUAUGACCCCAACUACAACUAUGAUGUGGAUGAGGAUGAGGACGGGGAUGAGUCCAUGGACACAGGGGACGGAGAGGAUGAGGACCAAGAGUCAGAUGACGAGUACAGUGAUGAUGACGACAUGAGCUGGAAGGUACGGAGGUCAUCUGUGAAGUGUCUGGAGGCUGUGAUCAGCACCAGGAGAGACCUGCUAGUGGAGCUGUAUGGUUCAGUAGCUCCAACCCUGCUGGCUCGGUUUAAAGAGAGGGAGGAGAACGUCAAGACAGACAUCUUUGUAGCCUUUGUUGCCUUACUCAAACAGACCAGGCCUUCUCAGGGCCUCAUCACCACAGCAGCAGAGCCUGGAGUCAAAGAAGACCAAGCCAUCACUCUACUCAAGAAACAGGUCCCCACAGUAGUGAAGGCUCUCCACAAGCAGCUGAAGGAGAAGAGCAUGAAGUCUAGACAGGGCUGUUUCUGUCUGCUGACAGAGCUGGCCAACGUACUGCCAGGAGCCCUGGGAAAACACAUACCAGCUCUCAUCCCUGGUAUAGUUCACUCCCUUACAGACAAGUCUACCUCGUCCAACAUGAAGCUCGAUGCCCUCUCUUUCCUCAAUGUCCUCCUGUGCAGCCAUCCUCCUGCCGUGUUCCAGCCUCACAUGAAGGUAUGCUGCCUGCGGUGGUGCAGUGUGUGGAGGACACCUUCUAUAAGAUCACCUCCGAGGCCCUACUGGUCACUCAGCAGAUGGUCAAGAUCAUACGCCCGUUAGGAGACAAACUACCCGCCUUUGACGUCAAACCCUACGUGAAGGAUAUGUUCUCUGCCACUCUGAAGAGGCUGAAGGCUGCAGACAUUGACCAGGAAGUGAAGGAGAGAGCUAUUUCCUGUAUGGGUCACAUUGUGUGUCACGUAGGAGACCAGCUGGGUGGGGACCUCCAGCCGACACUGCAGAUCUUCCUGGAGAGACUGAAGAACGAGAUCACCAGGCUGACAGCGGUGAAGACCCUGACUCUCAUCGCCACAUCGCCCCUCAAGAUCGACCUCCGACCUUUACUCACUGAGGGCAUCCCCAUCCUAGGCUCCUUCCUCAGGAAGAACCAGCGUGCCCUCAAGCUGAGCACACUGACUGCCCUCAACAUGAUAGUUAUGAACUACAGCGACAGCCUGAAGCCGCCCAUGAUCGAGGCUGUGCUCAAUGAGCUACCUGCCCUGAUCGAGGAGAACGACAUGCACAUAUCCCAGGUGGCGGUGAUGCUUCUCACCUGUAUAGCUAAGGUGUGCCCCUCCUCCCUGUCUAAGAUCGGGAACACCGUCUUACCUGGUGUGUUUCAUCUGGUUCAUUCCCCGUUGCUGCAAGGAGGGGCUCUGUCGGCCAUCUUGGAGUUCUUCAAGGCCCUGGUGGUCACUAAGGCUGGGAACAUGGGAUACAACGACCUCUUGAAAGCUCUCACCGGUCCUUUCCACAGCUCAGGGAAGGCGACAGACCCCACACCCACGCACAGACAGUCUUACUACUCUGUGGCCAGGUGUGUAGCUGCUCUAUCCUCCGUGUGCCCUAAAGAAGCAUCCGGAAUGGUCACCAGCUUCAUCCAGGAAGUCAAGAACCCCAAGUGUUCCGAGUCCGUCAGAAUCCUGUCCUUCCUGUGUCUGGGGGAGGUGGGGCGUACCAUGAACCUGGGGGGUCAGAAGGAGCUAAAGACUGUGAUCCUGGAGGCCUUCUCCUCUCCCAACGAGGAAGUCAAGUCAGCCGCUUCCUGUGCUCUGGGGAACAUCUGUGUGGGCAACCUGGAGGAGUACCUUCCCUUUAUGCUGAAGGAGAUAGGUAGCCAGCCAAAGAGAAGGUACCUGCUGUUACACAGCCUCAAAGAGGUGAUCGGCGCCUGCUCGGCGGAGAGCUUGUUGGCCCACGUCGAGGAUAUCUGGGCUCUUCUCUUUAAGAACCGCGAGUGUGCCGAAGAGGGGACGAGGAAUGUGGUGGCGGAGUGUCUGGGGAAACUUACCAUGGUCAAUCCGGCUCAGCUCCUGCCCAGGCUCAAACAACAGCUUUCCUCAGGGUCUCCUGUGGCCCGCAGUACUGUGGUCACUGCUGUUAAGUUCACCAUCGUUGAUCAGCCUGUACCUAUAGAUUCACUACUCAAAGGAUGCAUAGGUGAUUUCCUGAAGACUCUGCAGGACAAAGACCCGAAUGUACGUCGUGUGGCCUUGGUGAUGUUCAACUCAGCGGCCCACAACAAACCUUCUCUGAUCCGCGGUCUGCUAGCCUCAGUACUGCCUAGCCUCUACAACGAGACACAGAUCAGGAAGGACCUCAUCAGAGAGGUGGAGAUGGGUCCGUUCAAGCACACAGUGGACGAUGGUCUGGACGUGAGAAAGGCAGCGUUUGAGUGCAUGUAUACCUUACUGGACAGCUGUCUGGACUGCUUGGACAUCUUCGAGUUCCUCGACCGCGUAGAAGAAGGCCUUAAAGACCACUACGACAUCAGAAUGUUGACAUUCAUCAUGCUGGCCAGACUCUGCUGUCUGUGUCCCAAUGCUGUGGUCCAGAGACUGGACAGACUGAUCGAACCUCUCAGGGUUACCUGCACCACUAAGGUGAAGGCGGGGUCAGUGAAGCAGGAGUUUGAGAAGCAGGAGGAGCUGCGUCGUUCAGCGAUGAGGGCCGUGGCAGCCUUGCUCUCUAUCAGCGAGGUGGAGAAAAGCCCUGCCAUGGCCGACUUUGCCAACCAGAUACGCACCAACGCAGAGAUGGCCUCCAUCUUAGAGAGCAUCCAGGGAGACACACGCUCCGGCGCAGUGGAAAGCAUGGACACCAGUUAGAACUAAACGAUAGGAGGGGACACCCUCCCAGGAUAAUUUGAAGUUAUUCUUUAAAAUAGAACAGAAACAGAAACCGAAGCCAAUGCCCAGCAUUUUGGCUAGAUGCAAAUUGUAUGACUGUCAUAGGCCGUAUUCACUGCCACUGAAAUCCUUCAUAUUAUGCCUUGAAAGUUGAGUUGGAAACGUGUUUUAUUGACUCGUCAGGAUGUCGUAGGGCCUAAUCAAUGACAAUUAUUCCUCUGCCUUAAAAAUCAACGUUGAGAUGAAAACGUGCCUUCCGGUCAUUGAGAUCAUACUUCAUUCAAAGGACUUUAAGGCCAGUGGUAUUCAGUGCCAUGUUGGUAGGGCUGUGAUAUUGAUACAGUAUUCUCCAUGAAUACAUUGCAAAUAAACAAACGUUUUGUUCAUUUAA